GAAGUAAAAGUCGUAACAAGGUCUCCGUAGGUGAACCUGCGGAGGGAUCAUUACUGAGUGAGGGCCUUCGGGCUCGACCUCCAACCCUUUGUGAACACAACUUGUUGCUUCGGGGGCGACCCUGCCGUUUCGACGGCGAGCGCCCCCGGAGGCCUUCAAACACUGCAUCUUUGCGUCGGAGUUUAAGUAAAUUAAACAAAACUUUCAACAACGGAUCUCUUGGUUCUGGCAUCGAUGAAGAACGCAGCGAAAUGCGAUAAGUAAUGUGAAUUGCAGAAUUCAGUGAAUCAUCGAAUCUUUGAACGCACAUUGCGCCCCUUGGUAUUCCGAGGGGCAUGCCUGUUCGAGCGUCAUUUCACCACUCAAGCCUCGCUUGGUAUUGGGCGCCGCGGUGUUCCGCGCGCCUCAAAGUCUCCGGCUGAGCUGUCCGUCUCUAAGCGUUGUGAUUUCAUUAAUCGCUUCGGAGCGCGGGCGGUCGCGGCCGUUAAAUCUUUUACAAGGUUGACCUCGGAUCAGGUAGGGAUACCCGCUGAACUUAAGCAUAUCAAUAAGCCGGAGGA
rnacentral:rRNA from 1 species